CUGGCCAUUGACCACCUUACUCUCGCAAUGGAUCUGCAAGGAAUCAAAUAAGAAAAGAUCCUUCAUGUGUAGUUUAUCCACAUUAAUUACCGUCCUUUUUGCUCAGAUUGAGAAGCCAGGUGAGGAUCAGUCCAUAGUCUGUCGAAAAGUGCAGCUCAUGUAGAAUAAUCUGUGAACUUACCUCUUCGGACAAAUCUUUGAUGGGCGACGUCUGAUUCGGCUUGGCCAACGUUUCCAGGUGCUGCAUGAUGUUGGCGUUAUCCUUC